rnacentral:rRNA from 1 species
GCGGCGGACGGGUGAGUAAUGCUUAGGAAUCUGCCUAUUAGUGGGGGACAACAUUCCGAAAGGAAUGCUAAUACCGCAUACGUCCUACGGGAGAAAGCAGGGGAUCUUCGGACCUUGCGCUAAUAGAUGAGCCUAAGUCGGAUUAGCUAGUUGGUGGGGUAAAGGCCUACCAAGGCGACGAUCUGUAGCGGGUCUGAGAGGAUGAUCCGCCACACUGGGACUGAGACACGGCCCAGACUCCUACGGGAGGCAGCAGUGGGGAAUAUUGGACAAUGGGGGGAACCCUGAUCCAGCCAUGCCGCGUGUGUGAAGAAGGCCUUAUGGUUGUAAAGCACUUUAAGCGAGGAGGAGGCUACUGAGACUAAUACUCUUGGAUAGUGGACGUUACUCGCAGAAUAAGCACCGGCUAACUCUGUGCCAGCAGCCGCGGUA